UACGAAGGUCCCAAGCGUUGUUCGGAUUCACUGGGCGUAAAGGGUGCGUAGGCGGUCGGGUAAGUCUGAUGUGAAAUCUCACAGCUUAACUGUGAAACUGCAUUGGAUACUAUCCGGCUCGAGGAAUGGAGGGGAGACUGGAAUACUUGGUGUAGCAGUGAAAUGCGUAGAUAUCAAGUGGAACACCAGUGGCGAAGGCGAGUCUCUGGACAUUUCCUGACGCUGAGGCACGAAAGCCAGGGGAGCAAACGGG
rnacentral:rRNA from 1 species